GUGGCUGGGGAAUAAGGUAACAGUAAGAGACUGAUACUGGAAAACACAGGCUACAUUUGUUAUUUUUCUAAUUUAGUGUGGCUGUGAUUAAAAACAAUAAUCAAAGCUAAUGGAAGAUUUUAGAUCGACAGAAAUGGGUAGUGAAUGCUUAGUGUUAACGUUCUUUACCUAACGUGGUUUGAAAUGACUCUAAGCAACAAGGCACUUAAUAAAUAGAGGUUUUCAAUGUGAGUUUAUCAAAGUCUGCUGUAGGGUAUCAAAAAGGAUUUCAUCAGAUUCCAAUGGCCCAGGCACACAGCUGGUAAACGGGUAAUCUCAGCAAAAUCCCUCCCAGCAAUACACUGCACAUAACUCUGCUUGAAGAAUAGACUCUGCACGAUGCUACGCUCUCCACUCUAUUCCAAGCUGUCCUCCAGCCAUGGUCGGGAGCUGAUAGGCUGCUCCGCAUCUCACGUGAGCUAUCCGUCAGUAACCUUAGGGAGCUGUUGCAGCGAAAACUGUUCAGAAGUAAUGAAUGAAACUAUCGGGGCACUUGUGAGAGAGUCUUGUGGAGGAGCUACAAAGGAUGGAGGGAGGAGACCUGUGAACUGAUCUCUGGACCACUCUUAAACAUUGUCCUUUUAAAGGGAGAAGGUUGAUAUCAAGUGGAAGCCACAACAUUUAGUACCCAGAUCUCCUACAUAAACUUAGAACAAGAUGGAGAAAAAGAACGAAACGUCUUCACCACAGAAGCAGAGUGUCAAGAGUCGCUCGAAAUCCACUGAUGAGAUUGUGCAAGCAAAAAAGGCUUUUCACACACCUCAGAUAUCCCUGCCUGGCAGACAAGAACUGGAAAAGCUGAAGGAAGCUACUGAAAGUGAAGAAUUCCUUUCCGCUGCAGAAGGUGACGAAACAUUGGUCGAGAAGGUUCAAAAUUGACCUGAGUUCCUCAAUGUCAUUGAAUAUACCGAGUAUUCUCUCACUGGGGUCUUGGGCCACAGGGAUGAAUAACGUAUCUAAGGUCCCUUACAGCAAGUCACAGGAGAUGCAGUUCCCAUACUUUAAUGUUUACUUGUCACUAUGUACCUCUAACUGUGUGUGUCAGUAAUCAUGACCAUUAUUGAUUGUGUCGUCAAUGAUGUGGGCAAUGCUUCUAUCAUCCUAUUUGAUAAGUGUAUGCGAAAAUUAAAGUUGUAUUUCGGUGGGUGAAUCUCUGAGCUGUUCAACUGCACUACAAUGGAGAAGCAUGCUCAAACUUGUGUGCCACAAAUUAUCAUCCAAUAAUUCAGUUCUUUCCCAGGCAAUGGAAGAAUCGGCAGCACUGGAUUUCACAUCGCAAAUCAAGAUAAUGUUUAACUAUGUGUGCCCAGUAGAGAGCCUUGCAUGCCACAAACAAUGCUCAAAUUCAAGGACCACUACCUCCUGAUUUCAGUUUCACAGAAAACUGUGCACAGUGCCAUCCUGAAUGUUAGAACUUGCCUCCUGAUGUCUCCUCCAGUUACUGAAAAUUGGAAAAUGACUCCAGAAAUGUUUGCGUUGUAAAUAAAUAGUCCUCAUCUUUUGAAUUCCAUGUUCAAAUUCUGGAUUACCUUAAUUCAAUAUUUUCUGCUGGAGUUUUUUUUGUCAAAAAUGAACCUUCACUAGUUCUGUUUGUGUUUCAUUUUUUAUGUUGGUUAAUACUUUUUUCUUCAGUCCUGUUCCCUUCUGUGCCUCAGCUGUGCUGUAUUGAGUAAAUGAAGCCCAGACUGGAGGAUGCUUCUGUUAGUUUUCACAUAAAAAUAUCUAACUCUGUUGCUUUGUCUGCAUUCUAAAAUAUAACCCUUUGAUGCUGUGCAGUAAUGGCAUCAAUAAAAUCAUGGUAUGGCAUUCUCAUACUACUUCUGUGCCAUGGGAACAGUAGAAUAUUUUGAGUGGCUUUGUUAUGGAGAUGAACAUUUGCAAGUGUUAAUGUUUUGCCAGUGUUGUAUCUAAUUGGUGUGUUGUAUUAACAAGAUUGGUGUCAUUAUUCAUGUUGGGAUAGAGAAGAGGUUGUGAAGUUGCACUGGCAGAGAGGGGUAGCACCCAUAAGAGCCACUAGUUGGGCAGUGGUCAGCACUAGUCUGUGGUUCUUAUCUUUCAGCCUAGAUGGAUGAAGAAUCAGGAGUCACCUAGUCACAGCUCAAGGUGAAGGUUCAACAAGAUGAAGCUGGCUGGAGAAUGAGCCUUGAGAAGGAUUAUGUAUUUGUAAUGGAAAUAUUGAUUCUAGGUGAAAUGCAGGAUGUGUAAUACCAUAUUUCUGUGAACAUGUAAUUGAGUUUAAAGUAGUCUGUAUUUAUGAAAAUCAUUACUAUUAAACUUGUUAUGCUUCACGGUCUUA